UGGUGUCUGACCUGCAGAACUCAAAGCCCAGACAGGAAGAGCUCUGUCAUGUUCACCUGGAAGAGCGCCUGGGGCUUGGUGGGCAUCCCCUGGAUGUUUUCUGGGACCCCAGCUGACAGAGCAAUCAGACUGAUGAUGAAGGCAAUGGCUACCAUAAUGCUUGGGACCAACUUUUGGUUCAGAAAAUACACUUGUUAUAUUCUACUCAGUGCAUAGUAAAGUACCAGCUACACUGCAAGAUGCUAGCGAAUGGAACAUCUGGAUUGUGAAGAUGAGGCUCGCAGAGAGAAGGCGGCAAGCUAGGAAAAGAGCCCUAACCAGGAACUAAGCCAGUUUAUACCUUGACUUGGACCUGGGUCUUCUGGACUUCAGAACUGAGUGAACGCGGCCUCCUGUUGUGCAAGCCCCCAUCUGUGGUGCUUUGCCAAGGCAGCCUGCGCUGACAAAGCAAUUCCCAGAACUGCGUUGCCUCCCUCUCUUUUCUCCUCUCCUUGGUCCACGUGCUUCUUUGCAGCUUUGCUCGUCUGUCCUCAUCCCGACUUUAUUUAAGAAAAUAAAAAAGAACAUAAAAGAGCUCGAGGCUGGAUGAGAAUGUAAUAUUUUGCCCGGAGGAGAAUUAAAUCUGGAGACAGAGUUGUGCAGGCAAUGUUAUGUGGACGGGUGGGGAGAGGCAACCCGGGGGGUAGUGAAA